CAGCAGCCGCGGUAAUACGAAGGGUGCAAGCGUUAAUCGGAAUUACUGGGCGUAAAGCGUGCGUAGGCGGUUUGUUAAGUCUGCUGUGAAAUCCCCGGGCUCAACCUGGGAAUGGCAGUGGAUACUGGCAAGCUAGAGUGUGUCAGAGGAUGAUGGAAUUCCCGGUGUAGCGGUGAAAUGCGUAGAGAUCGGGAGGAACAUCAGUGGCGAAGGCGGCCAUCUGGGACAACACUGACGCUGAGGCACGAAAGCGUGGGGAGCAAACAGGAUUAGAUACCCCUGUAGUCCCUGUCUCUUAUAC
rnacentral:rRNA from 1 species